rnacentral:misc_RNA from 1 species
UCCCUCCGUCAGCGUCACUGGUAAAGUUACUAUUUAUGUUGUCCGGUUAUUUGUAAUUAACAAUAUCAAUUUAUGCCUCCAUUAUUAUGCUGCUGCUGGUUGUCUUUCCCCUUUUUAUCUAUUCGGAUUGUAUGGUUGGUAAAAAUAUGAGGUGUGGUCCUUCAGGUACAUCCAGAGUACCUGUGCAACCUCCGGUGAGGGACUUUAUGAGGGCUUGGACUGGCUC